AUUGAACGCUGGCGGGAUGCUUUACACAUGCAAGUCGAACGAGUGGCGGACGGGUGAGUAAUAUAUCGGAACUGCCCAGUAGCGGGGGAUAACUACUGGAAAGGGUGGCUAAUACCGCAUACUAUUGGAUGGCCGAUAUGGGAUUAGCUAGUAGGUGGGGUAAUGGCUCACCUAGGCGACGAUCCCUAGCUGGUCUGAGAGGAUGAUCAGCCACACUGGGACUGAGACACGGCCCAGACUCCUACGGAGGCAGCAGUGGGGAAUAUUGCACAAUGGGCGCAAGCCUGAUGCAGCCAUGCCGCGUGUAUGAAGAAGGCCUUAGGGUUGUAAAGUACUUUCAGUCGGGAGGCGUUACCGACAGAAGAAGCACCGGCUAACUCCGUGCCAGCAGCCGCGGUAAUAC
rnacentral:rRNA from 1 species